rnacentral:tRNA from 1 species
GAGAGUGUAGCUCAAAUGGUAGAGCACAUGCUUAGCAUGCAUGAGGUCCUGGGUUCAAUCCCCAGUACCCCCU